rnacentral:rRNA from 1 species
AGUGAACGCUGGCGGUAGGCCUAACACAUGCAAGUCGAACGGCAGCACAGUAAGAGCUUGCUCUUACGGGUGGCGAGUGGCGGACGGGUGAGGAAUACAUCGUAAUCUACUUUUUCGUGGGGGAUAACGUAGGGAAACUUACUCUAAUACCGCAUACGACCUACGGGUGAAAGCAUGGGAUCUUCGGACCUUGCGCGAUUGAAUGAGCCGAUGUCGGAUUAGCUAGUUGGCGGGGUAAAGGCCCACCAAGGCGACGAUCCGUAGCUGGUCUGAGAGGAUGAUCAGCCACACUGGAACUGAGACACGGUCCAGACUCCUACGGGAGGCAGCAGUGGGGAAUAUUGGACAAUGGGCGCAAGCCUGAUCCAGCCAUGCCGCGUGGGUGAAGAAGGCCUUCGGGUUGUAAAGCCCUUUUGUUGGGAAAGAAAAGCAGCAGGUUAAUACGCCGCUGUUAUGACGGUACCCAAAGAAUAAGCACCGGCUAACUUCGUG